AGGGGGAUAAGUGGCCUUACGCUGUGACUUCUAAUUACGGAUGGUGCAAUUCGAUUUUGUGCUCCUUCUU
rnacentral:tRNA from 1 species